rnacentral:rRNA from 1 species
UACGUAGGUGGCAAGCGUUGUCCGGAAUUAUUGGGCGUAAAGCGCACGCAGGCGGUCGUGCGCGUGGGGUGUGAAAUCUGGCCGCUUAACGGCCAGGCGCCAUCCCAUACGGCACGACUGGAGGGCUGCAGAGGUCGAUGGAAUUGCCGGUGUAGUGGUGAAAUGCGUAGAGAUCGGCAGGAACACCCAGGGGGAAACCAGUCGACUGGGCAGCACCUGACGCUGAGGUGCGAGAGCGUGGGGAGCGAACCGU